rnacentral:rRNA from 1 species
AAACCGGAGCUAAUACCGGAUAAUAUUUCGAACCGCAUGGUUCGAUAGUGAAAGAUGGCUCUGCUAUCACUUAUAGAUGGACCUGCGCCGUAUUAGCUAGUUGGUAAGGUAACGGCUUACCAAGGCAACGAUACGUAGCCGACCUGAGAGGGUGAUCGGCCACACUGGAACUGAGACACGGUCCAGACUCCUACGGGAGGCAGCAGUAGGGAAUCUUCCGCAAUGGGCGAAAGCCUGACGGAGCAACGCCGCGUGAGUGAUGAAGGUCUUCGGAUCGUAAAACUCUGUUAUUAGGGAAGAACAAACGUGUAAGUAACUGUGCACGUCUUGACGGUACCUAAUCAGAAAGCCACGGCUAACUACGUGCCAGCAGCCGCGGUAAUACGUAGGUGGCAAGCGUUAUCCGGAAUUAUUGGGCGUAAAGCGCGCGUAGGCGGUUUUUUAAGUCUGAUGUGAAAGCCCACGGCUCAACCGUGGAGGGUCAUUGGAAACUGGAAAACUUGAGUGCAGAAGAGGAAAGUGGAAUUCCAUGUGUAGCGGUGAAAUGCGCAGAGAUAUGGAGGAACACCAGUGGCGAAGGCGACUUUCUGGUCUGUAACUGACGCUGAUGUGCGAAAGCGUGGGGAUCAAACAGGAUUAGAUACCCUGGUAGUCCACGCCGUAAACG